rnacentral:rRNA from 1 species
GACGAACGCUGGCGGCGUGCCUAAUACAUGCAAGUAGAACGCUGAAGGAGGAGCUUGCUUCUCUGGAUGAGUUGCGAACGGGUGAGUAACGCGUAGGUAACCUGCCUGGUAGCGGGGGAUAACUAUUGGAAACGAUAGCUAAUACCGCAUAAUAGUAGAUGUUGCAUGACAUUUACUUAAAAGGUGCAAUUGCAUCACUACCAGAUGGACCUGCGUUGUAUUAGCUAGUUGGUGGGGUAACGGCUCACCAAGGCGACGAUACAUAGCCGACCUGAGAGGGUGAUCGGCCACACUGGGACGGAGACACGGCCCAGACUCCUACGGGAGGCAGCAGUAGGGAAUCUUCGGCAAUGGACGAAAGUCUGACCGAGCAACGCCGCGUGAGUGAAGAAGGUUGUCGGAUCGUAAAGCUCUGUUGUAAGAGAAGAACGAGUGUGAGAGUGGAAAGUUCACACUGUGACGGUAUCUUACCAGAAAGGGACGGCUAACUACGUG